rnacentral:rRNA from 1 species
AUAACGAAUAAUUAGUGGCAGACGGGUGAGUAAUGCAUAGGAAUCUACCUAGUAGUAUGGGAUAGCCACUAGAAAUGGUGGGUAAUACUGUAUAAUCCCUGCGGGGGAAAGAUUUAUCGCUAUUAGAUGAGCCUAUGUUAGAUUAGCUAGUUGGUAGGGUAAAGGCCUACCAAGGCGAUGAUCUAUAGCUGGUCUGAGAGGAUGAUCAGCCACACUGGAACUGAGAUACGGUCCAGACUCCUACGGGAGGCAGCAGUGGGGAAUAUUGGACAAUGGGCGCAAGCCUGAUCCAGCUAUGCCGCGUGAGUGAGGAAGGCCUUAGGGUUGUAAAACUCUUUCAGUAGGGAAGAUAAUGACGGUACCUACAGAAGAAGUCCCGGCAAACUCCGUGCCAGCAGCCGCGGUAAUACGGAGGGGGCAAGCGUUGUUCGGAAUUAUUGGGCGUAAAGGGCAUGUAGGCGGUUCGGUAAGUUAAAGGUGAAAUGCCAGGGCUUAAC